rnacentral:rRNA from 1 species
CCUACGGGAGGCUGCAGUAGGGAAUAUUGGGCAAUGGAGGAAACUCUGACCCAGCCAUGCCGCGUGCAGGAUGACGGCCUCUGGGUUGUAAACUGCUUUUAUACGGGAAGCGGUACCGUAAGAAUAAGGAUCGGCUAACUCCGUGCCAGCAGCCGCGGUAAUACGGAGGAUCCAAGCGUUGUCCGGAUUUAUUGGGUUUAAAGGGUGCGUAGGCGGAUCUUUAAGUCAGUGGUGAAAGCCUGCAGCUCAACUGUAGAACAGCCAUUGAAACUGAAGAUCUUGAAUAUGGUUAAAGUAGGCGGAAUGUAUCAUGUAGCGGUGAAAUGCUUAGAUAUGAUACAGAACACCGAUAGCGAAGGCAGCUUGCUGACCUUAUUGACGCUGAGGCACGAAAGCGUGGGGAGCAAACAGGAUUAGAUACCCUUGUAGUC